rnacentral:tRNA from 1 species
UCUUGGCUGGCUCAAUCGGUAGAGCAUGUGACUCUAGAUCUUGGGGUUGUGGGUUCAAGCCCCACGUUGGGUA